GACAGAGGAUGCAAGCGUUAUCCGGAAUGAUUGGGCGUAAAGCGUCUGUAGGUGGCUUUUUAAGUCUGCCGUCAAAUCCCAGGGCUUAACCCUGGACAGGCGGUGGAAACUACCAAGCUGGAGUACGGUAGGGGCAGGGGGAAUUUCCGGUGGAAGCGGUGAAUGCGUAGAGAUCGGAAAGAACACCAACGGCGAAAGCACUCUGCUGGCCGACACUGACACUGAGAGACGAAGCUAGGGAGCGAAUGG
rnacentral:rRNA from 1 species